UGCCCUUGUACAGCGCGUACUGGCCGUAGUCCUCGCACAGGGACUCCAGCCGGCCGGGAGGGAGCUUGAAGAGGCGGUAGGUGAUGGAAUAAAAUUUCGCCUCGCCGAGCAACGCCGCGAGCGCCUCGGGGUCGUUCCAUACGAUCGAACGUCGGGGUGGAGUUGAAAGGCGUCAGACGGAGUUGAAAGGCGUCGAGGUGUGUCGGGAUUGAAACCGAGGUGUGGGCGGAGAGAUGCGCCGGGAAUAAAAGUCCUUAAGGAACGGCGUUCACCGCGCCGACGCGGUCGUAUGGGAACCAGUGCGACAUAGAACGCGCCUCGUCCUU
rnacentral:lncRNA from 1 species